GAUGUCAAGGUGUAUUCAAUUUACAAACAUAACGCUAUGAUAACUAGGGAUGGGCAAAGUGAGGCUUUAUGAAACACUGAAACGUUGGAAGCAAUUGUGCCGAAUUGUUCCGAAGCUACGAAACAAUUACGACACCUCAGAGCUGUUUAGGGUGAAACAAAUCUGUCAA